UACGAGGGGGGCAAGCGUUGUUCGGAAUUAUUGGGCGUAAAGAGCUCGUAGGCGGUGUGUCGCGUCGGCCGUGAAAACCUGGGGCUUAACUCUGGGCGUGCGGUCGAUACGGGCAUCACUGGAGUUCGGCAGGGGAGACUGGAAUUCCUGGUGUAGCGGUGAAAUGCGCAGAUAUCAGGAGGAACACCGGUGGCGAAGGCGGGUCUCUGGGCCGAUACUGACGCUGAGGAGCGAAAGCAUGGGUAGCGAACAGG
rnacentral:rRNA from 1 species